rnacentral:rRNA from 1 species
AUUGAGCGCUGGCGGCAGGCUUAACACAUGCAAGUCGAGCGGGGUGAUGGUGCUUGCACUAUCACUUAGCGGCGGACGGGUGAGUAAUGCUUAGGAAUCUGCCUAUUAGUGGGGGACAACAUCUCGAAAGGGAUGCUAAUACCGCAUACGUCCUACGGGAGAAAGCAGGGGAUCUUUAUGACCUUGCGCUAAUAGAUGAGCCUAAGUCGGCUUAGCUAGUUGGUGGGGUAAAGGCCUACCAAGGCGACGAUCUGUAGCGGGUCUGAGAGGAUGAUCCCCCACACUGGGACUGAGAAACGGCCCAGACUCCGACGGGAGGCAGCAGUGGGGAAUAUGUGACAAUGGGGGGAACCCUGAUCCAGCCAUGCCGCGUGUGUGAAGAAGGCCUUAUGGUUGUAAAGCACUUUAAGCGAGGAGGAGGCUCUUUUGGUUAAUACCCAGAAUGAGUGGACGUUACUCGCAGAAUAAGCACCGGCUAACUCUGUGCCAGCAGCCGCCGUAA